CCUACGGGAGGCAGCAGUGAGGAAUAUUGGUCAAUGGGCGGGAGCCUGAACCAGCCAAGUCGCGUGAGGGAUGACGGCCCUACGGGUUGUAAACCUCUUUUACCGGGGAGCAAAUCGCGUCACGCGUGGCGCGUGAGAGAGUACCCGGGGAAAAAGCAUCGGCUAACUCCGUGCCAGCAGCCGCGGUAAUACGGAGGAUGCGAGCGUUAUCCGGAUUUAUUGGGUUUAAAGGGUGCGCAGGCGGUCUGUUAAGUCAGCGGUCAAAGCCCGGGGCUCAACCCCGGCCCGCCGUUGAAACUGGCAGU
rnacentral:rRNA from 1 species